CGGGGUGAGUAACACGUGGGUAACCUGCCCGGAAGUGGGGGAAUACCUCGGGGAAACUCGAGCUAAUACCGCAUAACAUCUUUAGGACGAUGGUCCUGACGAUCAAAGCGGGGUCGCAAGAUCUCGCGCUACCGGAUGGGCCCGCGCCUGAUUAGCUAGUUGGUGGGGUAACGGCUCACCAAGGCUUCGAUCAGUAACCGGCCUGAGAGGGCGAUCGGUCACACCGGAACUGAGACACGGUCCGG
rnacentral:rRNA from 1 species